UUGCAAUGUAGAUUCCUAGGCCUGACCCAUGAAGAUUCUGAUUCAGUAGAUCUGAGGUGGGGCCCAGGAAUCUGCAUUUUAAA
rnacentral:miRNA from 10 species